ensembl:lncRNA
GUUUUAUUCCCGCUCUUAGUCAUGACCUAUAAUGAUACACACAACAACAAGAAAUGGCUUUAUCUUUUUUUCUUCUUUUUUACAAAACGACUUGUUUCCUUUUUCUAUUAAAUAAUAGGCAUAAUUUUGAUUAUUUAGGUACAUGAAAUGUCAUAAUUUAAAUUAGAACAUGAUUUUUAAUUGUGAUGUUUAGCUUGACAGAAUGUGACAUUUAUGUUUUCUGUAAAUGUGUUUUCUCUGUUAAAGGGAGGCUUGUUGUUAUUUCGGAUUCUCAGACUGGCUAUGAAACAAUCCGUUUGUGAAGAGACAGAUGCUGAAACCCAUCAUAACAUUGGAGGAUUUUGGGCCAUACUUACAUGUGUCAUCUGGCUGGAAAUGACACAAAAAGUGCCUGGUGUUCUAAGGUUCACUUCUUGGCUUGAUGAAUGAAGUUUUAGGUGUGACGGUGUGACACUUGCCGGUGCCCUCUAAUGACAUUUCAAUGAAAGCGGAUCCUGCUCAUUAAAGAAAAUGUCUGGUGAAAGGGAAAAUUGGGUAGAUGAUGUCAGGCAGUGGCCAAAACUUACUGAUAAAGCAAUCUCAACAAUGGACUCGUUUCCUUCCUUUUUGGUGUCUCCUGUACUUUCUGUUUGGAGGUCAUUGCAUGUGUCUGAUUGAGCAACUGUCAUUAUGCAUUUCUGUUUGCAGUGCUUUGCUUAAAUUUUGAACCCUUAGCAACAAUAAAAGUCUUUGGAGUUUUCCAUUUGGGUUGUGGUUGUACAUGUUUUCCUUGAUUUAAUAUCCUUAUGGAUAUGUGCAAUGCAACAAUUUAUUUCACACUAAAAAAAAUGAACCAGCUAUAAACACUUUUUUUUUUGAGCUGCAUGUGGUAUAGCAGUCUUAAAUGCAAUAACUAAAAUAAUAAUUUUCCUAAAUAACUUUUCUUGUUGGCUUAUCAACAGUUUAAUAUGUAAAUGGAAAUAAUUAAUUUAAUGGUCU